rnacentral:rRNA from 1 species
AGAGUUUGAUCCUGGCUCAGGACGAACGCUGGCGGCGCGCUUAACACAUGCAAGUCGAGCGAGAAAGUCUCUUCGGAGAUGAGUACAGCGGCGAACGGGUGAGUAACACGUGGGUAACCUGCCCUGAGGAGCGGGACAACCCGGGGAAACUCGGGCUAAUACCGCAUGAUUCGUAUGAUCUUAAGGUCGUACGGCAAAAGGUAGCUUCGGCUUCCGCCUUUGGAUGGGCCCGCGGCGCAUUAGCUUGUUGGUGGGGUAACGGCCUACCAAGGCGACGAUGCGUAGCUGGUCUGAGAGGACGAUCAGCCACACUGGGACUGAGACACGGCCCAGACUCCUACGGGAGGCAGCAGUGGGGAAUCUUGCGCAAUGGGCGAAAGCCUGACGCAGCGACGCCGCGUGAGGGAAGAAGGCUUUAGGGUUGUAAACCUCUUUCAGCGGGGACGAGGCCGACACGGUUAAUAGCCGUGAGCGGUGACGGUACUCGCAGAAGAAGCCCCGGCUAACUACGUGCCAGCAGUCGCGGUAAUACGUAGGGGGCAAGCGUUGUCCGGAAUCAUUGGGCGUAAAGCGCGUGUAGGCGGCACGGUCAGUCUGGUGUGAAACCUUGGGGCUCAACCCCAAGCCUGCACUGGAUACUGCCGCGCUCGAGUCCGGGAGAGGGAAGCGGAAUUCCUAGUGUAGCGGUGAAAUGCGCAGAUAUUAGGAAGAACACCGAUGGCGAAGGCAGCUUCCUGGAACGGUACUGACGCUGAGACGCGAAAGCGUGGGGAGCGAACAGGAUUAGAUACCCUGGUAGUCC